CUGAUGGAGUGACGGAGAAGGCUAAGUUGAGCGUGUGAUUGGAUUCACGUGUAAGCAGUGAGGUGGUCAUGUAGGCAAAUCCGCAUGGCAUAACAUUGAGCUGUGAUGCCGAAGCCGAAUGGCGAAGUCAACUGACGUCACGCUUCCAAGAAAAGCUUCUAGGGUUAAUUUAAUAAGUGCCCGUACCGAUAACCGACACAGGUAGGCGAGGAGAGAAUCCUAAGAUGAUCGAGAGAACUCUUGUUAAGGAACUCGGCAAAAUGACCCCGUAACUUCGGGAGAAGGGGUGCUUGUGAAAGCAAGCCGCAGUGAAUAGGCCCAGGCGACUGUUUAUCAAAAACACAGGUCUCUGCUAAACCGCAAGGUAAUGUAUAGGGGCUGACGCCUGCCCGGUGCUGGAAGGUUAAGAGGAGAGGUUAGCGCAAGCGAAGCUUUGAAUUGAAGCCCCAGUAAACGGCGGCCGUAACUAUAACGGUCCUAAGGUAGCGAAAUUCCUUGUCGGGUAAGUUCCGACCCGCACGAAAGGCGUAACGAUCUGGGCGCUGUCUCAACAAGAGACUCGGUGAAAUCAUAGUACCUGUGAAGAUGCAGGUUACCCGCGACAGGACGGAAAGACCCCGUGGAGCUUUACUGUAGCUUGAUAUUGAGCACUGGUGGCACAUGUACAGGAUAGGUAGGAGACGAAGAAACCAGGACGCCAGUCUUGGUGGAGUCGCUGUUGGGAUACUACCCUUGUGUCACUGGGGUUCUAACCCGUGGCCCUUAUCGGGUCAGGGAACAGUGUCAGGUGGGCAGUUUGACUGGGGCGGUCGCCUCCCAAAGAGUAACGGAGGCGCCCAAAGGUUCCCUCAGAAUGGUUGGAAAUCAUUCGAAGAGUGUAAAGGCAGAAGGGAGCUUGACUGCUAGACCUACAAGUCGAGCAGGGACGAAAGUCGGGCUUAGUGAUCCGGCGGUACCGAAUGGAAGGGCCGUCGCUCAACGGAUAAAAGCUACCCCGGGGAUAACAGGCUGAUCUCCCCCAAGAGUUCACAUCGACGGGGAGGUUUGGCACCUCGAUGUCGGCUCAUCGCAUCCUGGGGCUGUAGUCGGUCCCAAGGGUUGGGCUGUUCGCCCAUUAAAGCGGUACGCGAGCUGGGUUCAGAACGUCGUGAGACAGUUCGGUCCCUAUCCGUCGUGGGCGUAGGAAAUUUGAGAGGAGCUGUCCUUAGUACGAGAGGACCGGGAUGGACACACCGCUGGUGUACCAGUUGUUCUGCCAGGAGCAUAGCUGGGUAGCUACGUGUGGACGGGAUAAACGCUGAAAGCAUCUAAGCGUGAAGCCCCCCUCAAGAUGAGAUUUCCCAUUCGAAAGAAGUAAGAUCCCUUGAAGACGACGAGGUUGAUAGGUCAGGAGUGGAAGUGUGGUGACACAUGGAGCGGACUGAUACUAAUCGAUCGAGGACUUAACCG
rnacentral:rRNA from 1 species